CGACAGGUGCGUCCCCACAGUCUGCACGCCCCGAAAGCCGGUCCCUUUCCCACGGUGGGACACGACUGCCUUAAGUCGGAGGGAGGGCGAGGGGAGUUCAAGGUCGGACCCUGCUGGAGCAGUGGUUGGUUGCAAGGCCACGAACUUAUCAAUCACCCCUGCUGUGGACCACUUUCUGGAGGUCCAAGACGCCGACUUCUACAAAGAAGGGAUCCGUAUGCUCCACGACCGCUGGACUAAAGGGACAUGGCUGCUGGAAACUGGCAUCUGGGUGGUGUGCAGGAAAACUGAGGCUUUCACCAUAUGAGCCAGCGAUGAAGACACCAGCGACCAGUCCAAGAUACAAGCCCGAGGCAGCAGAUCCUGAUGAUGCUCCUCAAGUUAUGAAGACUGCCCCAGCUGC